AAUGUAUUUGGCUAAGGUGUAUGUAAACUUCCGACUUCAACUGCAGGUCUGUACACAGCAUUCUCUCUCCAUCUUCAGGUAGGUCUGUACACAGCAUUCUUCUCCAUCUUCAGGUAGUUUCUGUACACAGCAUUCUCUCUCCAUCUUCAGGCAGGUCUGUGCACAGCAUUCUCUCUCCAUCUUCAGGCAGGUCUGUGCACAGCAUUCUCUCUCCAUCUUCAGGUAGGUCUGUACACAGCAUUCUCUCUCCAUCUUCAGGUAGGUCUGUACAGUACACAGCAUUCUCAGAAUCUUUAGGUAUAUCUUAAAAAAAAAAAAACGUUUUUAUUUAACCAAUGUCUUUACUU